CGGAGGAAAAGAAACCAACAGGGAUUGCCUCAGUAACGGCGAGUGAAGCGGCAAGAGCUCAAAUUUGAAAGCUGGCCCCUUCGGGGUCCGCGUUGUAAUUUGCAGAGGAUGCUUCGGGUGCAGCCCCCGUCUAAGUGCCCUGGAACGGGCCGUCAUAGAGGGUGAGAAUCCCGUCUGGGACGGGGUGUCUGCGUCCGUGUGAAGCUCCUUCGACGAGUCGAGUUGUUUGGGAAUGCAGCUCUAAAUGGGUGGUAAAUUUCAUCUAAAGCUAAAUACUGGCCGGAGACCGAUAGCGCACAAGUAGAGUGAUCGAAAGAUGAAAAGCACUUUGAAAAGAGAGUUAAACAGCACGUGAAAUUGUUGAAAGGGAAGCGUUUGCGACCAGACUCGCCCGCGGGGUUCAGCCGGCAUUCGUGCCGGUGUACUUCCCCGUGGGCGGGCCAGCGUCGGUUUGGGCGGCCGGUCAAAGGCCCUCGGAAUGUAUCACCUCUCGGGGUGUCUUAUAGCCGAGGGUGCAAUGCGGCCUGCCUGGACCGAGGAACGCGC
rnacentral:rRNA from 1 species